GCGAGCGGCAGUAGGGUGCCAUCAAGAGGUGUGUUUGGAAAUAUCCCUAAUACAGGAUCACUUGGAUCCGUCGGCGAUA
rnacentral:rRNA from 1 species